rnacentral:rRNA from 1 species
AGCGUACACGGUGGAUGCCCUGGCAGUCAGAGGCGAUGAAGGACGUGCUAAUCUGCGAAAAGCGUCGGUAAGGGGAUAUGAACCGUUAUAGCCGGCGAUGUCCGAAUGGGGAAACCCAGUGCAAUUCGUUGCACUAUCGUUUGAUGAAUACAUAGUCAAACGAGGCGAACCGGGGGAACUGAAACAUCUAAGUACCCCGAGGAAAAGAAAUCAACCGAGAUUCCCCCAGUAGCGGCGAGCGAACGGGGAGCAGCCCGGAGUCUGAAUCAGCUUGUGUGUUAGUGGAAGCGUCUGGAAAGUCGCAGGGUACAGGGUGAUACUCCCGUACACUAAAACGCACAGGCUGUGAACUCGAAGAGUAGGGCGGGACACGUGGUAUCCUGUCUGAAUAUGGGGGGACCAUCCUCCAAGGCUAAAUACUCCUGACUGACCGAUAGUGAACCAGUACCGUGAGGGAAAGGCGAAAAGAACCCCGGCGAGGGGAGUGAAAAAGAACCUGAAACCGUGUACGUACAAGCAGUAGGAGCCUCUUUAUGGGGUGACUGCGUACCUUUUGUAUAAUGGGUCAGCGACUUAUAUUCUGUAGCAAGGUUAACCGUAUAGGGGAGCCGCAGGGAAACCGAGUCUUAACUGGGCGUUAAGUUGCAGGGUAUAGACCCGAAACCCGGUGAUCUAGCCAUGGGCAGGUUGAAGGUUGGGUAACACUAACUGGAGGACCGAACCGACUAAUGUUGAAAAAUUAGCGGAUGACUUGUGGCUGGGGGUGAAAGGCCAAUCAAACCGGGAGAUAGCUGGUUCUCCCCGAAAGCUAUUUAGGUAGCGCCUCGUGAAUUCAUCUUCGGGGGUAGAGCACUGUUUCGGCUAGGGGGUCAUCCCGACUUACCAACCCGAUGCAAACUACGAAUACCGAAGAAUGUUAUCACGGGAGACACACGGCGGGUGCUAACGUCCGUCGUGAAGAGGGAAACAACCCAGACCGCCAGCUAAGGUCCCAAAGUCAUGGUUAAGUGGGAAACGAUGUGGGAAGGCCCAGACAGCCAGGAUGUUGGCUUAGAAGCAGCCAUCAUUUAAAGAAAGCGUAAUAGCUCACUGGUCGAGUCGGCCUGCGCGGAAGAUGUAACGGGGCUAAACCAUGCACCGAAGCUGCGGCAGCGACACUAUGUGUUGUUGGGUAGGGGAGCGUUCUGUAAGCCGUUGAAGGUGGCCUGUGAGGGUUGCUGGAGGUAUCAGAAGUGCGAAUGCUGACAUAAGUAACGAUAAUGCGGGUGAAAAACCCGCACGCCGGAAGACCAAGGGUUCCUGUCCAACGUUAAUCGGGGCAGGGUGAGUCGACCCCUAAGGCGAGGCCGAAAGGCGUAGUCGAUGGGAAACAGGUUAAUAUUCCUGUACUCGGUGUUACUGCGAAGGGGGGACGGAGAAGGCUAUGUUGGCCGGGCGACGGUUGUCCCGGUUUAAGCAUGUAGGCGGAUGUUCCAGGUAAAUCCGGAACGUUACUAACGCUGAGGUGUGAUGACGAGGCACUACGGUGCUGAAGUGACAAAUGCCCUGCUUCCAGGAAAAGCCUCUAAGCAUCAGGUAACAUCAAAUCGUACCCCAAACCGACACAGGUGGUCAGGUAGAGAAUACCAAGGCGCUUGAGAGAACUCGGGUGAAGGAACUAGGCAAAAUGGUGCCGUAACUUCGGGAGAAGGCACGCUGAUAUGUAGGUGAAGUGGUUUACCCAUGGAGCUGAAAUCAGUCGAAGAUACCAGCUGGCUGCAACUGUUUAUUAAAAACACAGCACUGUGCAAACACGAAAGUGGACGUAUACGGUGUGACGCCUGCCCGGUGCCGGAAGGUUAAUUGAUGGGGUUAUCCGUAAGGAGAAGCUCUUGAUCGAAGCCCCGGUAAACGGCGGCCGUAACUAUAACGGUCCUAAGGUAGCGAAAUUCCUUGUCGGGUAAGUUCCGACCUGCACGAAUGGCGUAAUGAUGGCCAGGCUGUCUCCACCCGAGACUCAGUGAAAUUGAACUCGCUGUGAAGAUGCAGUGUACCCGCGGCAAGACGGAAAGACCCCGUGAACCUUUACUAUAGCUUGACACUGAACACUGGUCCUUGAUGUGUAGGAUAGGUGGGAGGCUUUGAAGUGUGGACGCCAGUCUGCAUGGAGCCAUCCUUGAAAUACCACCCUUUAAUGGCUGGUGUUCUAACGUGGGCCCCUAAUCGGGGUUGCGGACAGUGUCUGGUGGGUAGUUUGACUGGGGCGGUCUCCUCCUAAAGAGUAACGGAGGAGCACGAAGGUCAGCUAAUCCUGGUCGGACAUCAGGAGGUUAGUGCAAUGGCAUAAGCUGGCUUGACUGCGAGCGUGACGGCGCGAGCAGGUGCGAAAGCAGGUCAUAGUGAUCCGGUGGUUCUGAAUGGAAGGGCCAUCGCUCAACGGAUAAAAGGUACUCCGGGGAUAACAGGCUGAUACCGCCCAAGAGUUCAUAUCGACGGCGGGGUUUGGCACCUCGAUGUCGGCUCAUCACAUCCUGGGGCUGAAGUAGGUCCCAAGGGUAUGGCUGUUCGCCAUUUAAAGUGGUACGCGAGCUGGGUUUAGAACGUCGUGAGACAGUUCGGUCCCUAUCUGCCGUGGGCGCUGGAGAAUUGAGGGGGGCUGCUCCUAGUACGAGAGGACCGGAGUGGACGCAUCACUGGUGUUCGGGUUGUCAUGCCAAUGGCAUUGCCCGGUAGCUAAAUGCGGAAGAGAUAAGUGCUGAAAGCAUCUAAGCACGAAACUUGCCCCGAGAUGAGUUCU